rnacentral:rRNA from 1 species
UGCAAGUCGAACGGCAGCACAGCAGUAGCAAUACUGUGGGUGGCGAGUGGCGGACGGGUGAGUAAUGCAUCGGGACCUGCCCAGACGUGGGGGAUAACGUAGGGAAACUUACGCUAAUACCGCAUACGUCCUACGGGAGAAAGCGGGGGAUCUUCGGACCUCGCGCGGUUGGAUGGACCGAUGUUCGAUUAGCUAGUUGGCGGGGUAAAGGCCCACCAAGGCGACGAUCGAUAGCUGGUCUGAGAGGAUGAUCAGCCACACUGGGACUGAGACACGGCCCAGACUCCUACGGGAGGCAGCAGUGGGGAAUAUUGGACAAUGGGCGCAAGCCUGAUCCAGCAAUGCCGCGUGUGUGAAGAAGGCCUUCGGGUUGUAAAGCACUUUUAUCAGGAGCGAAACGCUGCCGGCCAAUACCCGGCGGAACUGACGGUACCUGAGGAAUAAGCACCGGCUAACUUCGUGCCAGCAGCCGCGGUAAUACGAAGGGUGCAAGCGUUAAUCGGAAUUACUGGGCGUAAAGCGUGCGUAGGCGGUGACUUAAGUCUGCUGUGAAAUCCCCGGGCUCAACCUGGGAAUGGCAGUGGAUACUGGGUCGCUAGAGUGUGAUAGAGGAUGGUGGAAUUCCCGGUGUAGCGGUGAAAUGCGUAGAGAUCGGGAGGAACAUCAGUGGCGAANGCGGCCAUCUGGAUCAACACUGACGCUGA